rnacentral:lncRNA from 1 species
GCAUAGACCAUCCUUGUAGAUGCAAACCUGAAAAUGUGUGUGAGAUGGCAAUCAGGUCCACUUCUCAUCCCCUAACCUAGCAAACGAAAGCUGCCUAAAUGGAUCGUAGAUGAACAACACAGCAUUGCUUUCUGCAGAUGUAUCAUCAUAGAAUAUAAGUGCCUUAUGAUGAAGUUAGUAUUGCAGCUUGCCAAAAGCAAGGGUUAAGAGCCGUUCAGCAACUACCUAUCUGGUGCGAAUCGAGUAAUGCUACUCACAAAUUUCACCAGUACUGUCAAAAAUGGGCCUUGCCUGGUCCAUGGUGAUCACCGAUGGAAGAGCCAUCUGCUCACUUGUGAUCAGAUUGACAAAUUGCAUUUCAGACCAUUCACCAACAGGAAUAACCAGCCAUUCGAGGACCCAAUCAGACACCUUCUGCAGAUGGGUUGUUCCAGGAAAUCAUGAAAUACAAAUGAUUUAGUUUCAACAGGAAUAUCCUCUUUUCCGUGAGGCUCUAGAGGCAAACGACAUUCACUUUUUUGGAAUACGUAGGAGAGCUGCGUAAAAUAGAACGUUACAACGCGGACCGAGCGUCUGUCUUUAGCGACGUUGCUGUGUUGUCUGACCUGACGCAGAGGAGGAAGGCUCCGGGCGGCGGCAGGUGCUUCUGGCGGGUGCUGCCGCGGCCGCCGCGUUUAUUUCCCGGCCUAAUCCGGCGGCAUGUGAGUUGCUCUUCGAUUUUACUAUCUCCUUUGAAUGCUCGUUUUCUGCUGCUUUAACCACUUCCACUUUGCUGGUCACUGAGGGACAAGCUUGCUUUGUGAAUAUGGCUUAUUUGGUCAAAACUGCGACUCUGAGUGCCAUUCUGAUCUCGUAUAGUCGCAGCAGAGGCUAAG